GUUUCACUGUGUUAGCCAGAUGAUCUCGAUCUCCUGACCUUGUGAUCCGCCCACCUCGGCCUCCCGAAGUGCUGGGAUUACAGGCGUGAGUCACCGCGCCUGGCCAACUUUUUUCUUUUCCUUGUUUCUUUCCUUAUCUAUUUCCCUUUAUGGGUUGGAUAAUUAGCUACAUUGCAGAUACACAAUGUGUAUACAUAAAAUCACCAAGAAUGGAAAUGCAAUGGGCUAUACUUAUCUAGCUGAAGAUUGGACUUUUCCAAUGUCAUAUCCUCCUCACCAGUCACAAAACUGCUGUACUUUAAUAACUAUUUGGUUUAUGAAGGGAUGUGUUUUGAGAGCAUUUUCCCAAUUUUCAGUGAAUUAAUAGGCCCAGGUGGUCUGGUGCUCUGUUGGAUGGAUGUUUCUAUUUUGGUGGAAAGUUAUUUUUUCAUAAAUUCACUCUCAUGCACAUAUAAAUGUGAAUAAUAAGCCUUGUUAUUCCUAUGACAAUAGAGCAGCGGACCCCUGCUGGGGGUGGGGAGGGUAAACAAAGCAUAAGUUAGGCGCCAUCUUGGAUUUGUGUUUUUUUCCUCCUAGGUAAAAAGAUUGACUUCAAAUUUUUCCCAUUCUAAUGAAUAUAGCCUUAACUCUCAGAGGAUAGGAGGGAGCAAAUAUCUUUCUGCCAUUAAUGUGAAGAAAGGGGCCGGGCGCGGCGGCUCACGCCUGUAAUCCCAGCACUUUGGGAGGCCGAGGUCAGGAGCUGAAGAGCAACCCCGCCAACGUGGCGAAACCCUGUCUCUGCAAAAAUACAAAAAUUAACCGGGCAUGAUGGCGGGUGCCUGUAAUCCCAGCUACUCAGGAGGCUGAGGCAAGAGACUUGCUGGAACCCGGGAACGGAGGUUGCAGUGAGCCGAGAUCAUGCCAUUGCAUUCCAGCCUGGGUGAAAGAGGAGACUACGUCUCAAAGAAAAAAAAAUGAAGAAAAGGUGUACACACCGAGGGCUUUUAUGAGUUUGCUACUACACGAUGGGGUGUGUAAAGGCAAAUGCAAAUUAAAAAUAAAAGGUUUAAUUCUUCCUGUUGAAAAUAAGGUAAGAGACCUCUCUCCCCUCCCUUUGCUUAGAGCUUUUAUUUUAGAAAACCUGUAAUUGUAACUUAUUUCUGUAUCUUUGAAAUGUAUGUAAAUCUUUUCAAAAGCCAAAAGAGCCUUUUGCCCAUUUAAUGACCCAGGAAUGUCUUUUUCUUCAAAACCUGGGAACCAUCUCUUUGAAAUGUAAUCAUCAAGGAAGAUAAAGCCCCUAUCUCCUAGGUUGUGUGGAAGGGAAGGAACCUAAGGUAGUCAGGUCCUUGGUCUCAAACUACCUCCUGUUAUAAAGAUAUGAGAAGUUUAUUUUUCCUUUGGAUAAAGCCAAUUCAGUUAUUAAGUAAAUUUACAAAUCUUAAUUCUACGUAUGACAGAUGGUGCUGAUAGGUCCUCUUACUGGGGAACUAGUUAUUGUUUAUUCAGAGAAUAUGCAUGUGAGUUGUAUCUAUUUGGCUGUAUAACAGUGCGAUAAACCUUUCUGCUCUUGCAAUCUCUUUAGUGGAUUAUGC
rnacentral:lncRNA from 1 species